rnacentral:rRNA from 1 species
CGGGGUACUCGAGUGGCGAACGGGUGAGUAACACGUGGGUGAUCUGCCCUGCACUUUGGGAUAAGCCUGGGAAACUGGGUCUAAUACCGGAUAGGACCACACACUUCAUGGUGAGUGGUGCAAAGCUUUUGCGGUGUGGGAUUAGCCCGCGGCCUAUCAGCUUGUUGGUGGGGUAAUGGCCCACCAAGGCGACGACGGGUAGCCGGCCUGAGAGGGUGACCGGCCACACUGGGACUGAGAUACGGCCCAGACUCCUACGGGAGGCAGCAGUGGGGAAUAUUGCACAAUGGGCGCAAGCCUGAUGCAGCGACGCCGCGUGAGGGAUGACGGCCUUCGGGUUGUAAACCUCUUUCAGUAGGGACGAAGCGAAAGUGACGGUACCUACAGAAGAAGGACCGGCCAACUACGUGCCAGCAGCCGCGGUAAUACGUAGGGUCCGAGCGUUGUCCGGAAUUACUGGGCGUAAAGAGCUCGUAGGUGGUUUGUCGCGUUGUUCGUGAAAACUCACAGCUUAACUGUGGGCGUGCGGGCGAUACGGGCAGACUAGAGUACUGCAGGGGAGACUGGAAUUCCUGGUGUAGCGGUGGAAUGCGCAGAUAUCAGGAGGAACACCGGUGGCGAAGGCGGGUCUCUGGGCAGUAACUGACGCUGAGGAGCGAAAGCGUGGGUAGCGAACAGGAUUAGAUACCCUGGUAGUCCACGCCGUAAACGGUGGGUACUAGGUGUGGGUUUCCUUCCUUGGGAUCCGUGCCGUAGCUAACGCAUUAAGUACCCCGCCUGGGGAGUACGGUCGCAAGACUAAAACUCAAAGGAAUUGACGGGGGCCCGCACAAGCGGCGGAGCAUGUGGAUUAAUUCGAUGCAACGCGAAGAACCUUACCUGGGUUUGACAUGCACAGGACGUACCUAGAGAUAGGUAUUCCCUUGUGGCCUGUGUGCAGGUGGUGCAUGGCUGUCGUCAGCUCGUGUCGUGAGAUGUUGGGUUAAGUCCCGCAACGAGCGCAACCCUUGUCCUAUGUUGCCAGCGGGUAAUGCCGGGGACUCGUAGGAGACUGCCGGGGUCAACUCGGAGGAAGGUGGGGAUGACGUCAAGUCAUCAUGCCCCUUAUGUCCAGGGCUUCACACAUGCUACAAUGGCCAGUACAGAGGGCUGCGAAGCCGUAAGGUGGAGCGAAUCCCUUAAAGCUGGUCUCAGUUCGGAUUGGGGUCUGCAACUCGACCCCAUGAAGUCGGAGUCGCUAGUAAUCGCAGAUCAGCAACGCUGCGGUGAAUACGUUCCCGGGCCUUGUACACACCGCCCGUCACGUCAUGAAAGUCGGUAACACCCGAAGCC